rnacentral:lncRNA from 1 species
CGGCGAUGCAGCAGCUCGGCUCGGGGCGUGACGGAGCAGCGGAGCAUGCCGGAAGGAGGCCAGGGGUCGGACGGACCUGUCUGCAGUCCGGUGGAGUCGCCGGCGACGAGGUUGCAGCGCUGCAUGUCCGGUUGCAGUUGCAGGUCGGGUCGCUCGGGUCGCUGCCCAGAAACCUGCAACCCCGACCUGCUCCUACUUCAAUCGCUGUCCAGACGCGUCUAGGAAGCCUCCGGCCUCCGUCCGGCAAGCUCCGCGCUGCCGUCGCUGCUUGUAACAGCCUGCUGCGUCGCCGUCCGCAUUUUAGCGAAAGUGCGGAUGUCCGCUAUAGAUCGGGCC